AGGACUUAAAGAUGGUGGCAACCAAAAGCAUUGCAACAAAGCUUAGGAAUUCAGACUUAAUCUCCAAAAUAGAGACGGUGAAUAUCAAUCCCAUGAGCUACAGCAGUUUGCGUUGAUUUGGUGGUUGUGUCAUGUGUGUUCCUUCUCAAGUUACUGCAGAUUUUGGCAAUAAUGUUUAUCCUUACAAUAUCGACCAACUCGCUCGUCUUUCAACUUUUAGUAAUUUUUUGUUGUAAUUUGUAAUAGAACAGAGUUGUUUCUAUGAAUCAAAAUCCUUAAACAGCUUGAUGGAUUUAAAGGUGAAUUCUCUAUGAUCGCAAAUGUAUCAUAAGAAAAGAAAUCAUAAGAAAAGAUGGAUUAUUGGACGGGGUAUAAAAAUAUAAAAACGUUUUUCGUGUAUUGCACGGGCUGCAAAUGCUAGUAUAAUAUACGACACACUGGUAUAACUAUCUCUGUUCCUUCUCAAGUUACGGCAGAUUCUGUUCCUUUUUUUGUUGUAAUUUGUAAUAGAGGGAAGAUAGAUUUUAUUUAUUCUUUCAAAUCUCUUACAAUAUCUUUCAACCAACAAAAAGAUUGGGAAUCAUUCGUAGCUGCCUGCGCAAGCCUGUGAGCAGCCAAAUUUGCUGAACAAUUAUGCUCUACACCAGCAACAAUACCAUUAACAACAACCAUAAUUUCUGCUGCUAAAAUAUUCGAUGCCGGCCGGAUUCGUCUUCUUCGCCACAGCUGCUAUAACUUUGCCUUGAGAAUCACGAUUAAUGAUCAGCCCACAACCAAAAGAGUUCCUACUUGGAUUGAAGUGAGCAUCUACCUCAAGUUUGUUGUUAAUUUGGCCACCUGGUAUGCAUGCCAAAUAGCCAUGCAUGUCUCUUCUGUAACCUCUCCCUUUCCAUGCCAAAUAUGACACAUUUUCAGCCAAAUUUGCCAUGCCAUGACUAGGCUUGUCGAUCGGUUCGGGUUCGGUUACCCGAAACCGAAUUUGGCCUAUUUUCAAUAACCGUUCCUGAACCGAAUUGAGAGUUUGGUUACCCAAUAACCGGUUUGGUUAACCGAUUCGGUUAUUCCGUUGAACCCAAGUCUCCGACAAAUACAAAGAGUGACUUAUCCACUACACCAAGACUAUUUCUUGUUUUUUAAUACAACAUAAUUUUAUUUGGGUUAAUUGCCGGAAAAACCAUACACUUUUUCGAAAUUUGGUUUUUUCCCAUGACAAAAAAAACCUGAACAGAAAUCCAUGAAUUGAACAACUUAUUGCAUUUUUCCCCCGCGUCCGUUUUCCGGCGAUCUCCGAUGGAGGUCCGAUCCAACGUGGCUGCCACCUAACCAUAAUUUUCCACCUCACCCUAACACCUAAUUUUCCACCUCACCUCAACCCAAAACCCUCACAGCAGCCCUAAGCAUCGAAAAUUCUCCAUCUUCUUGCCACGGCCUCGGCGAAUUUGAGGAUGUGCUUGGUGAUCCCGCAGGUGAGGCCGCGGAAGAGGGUCUCCGGAAUGGUGGGGUGGGCCGGGAAGACGGAAUCCAAGAGAUUCCGCUCGGCCGGAAACUGGUCCUUGGCGAAGGUGGUGAAUUCGGAUGAGAUCGGAGGUGAUGUCGGCGUCGUCGGCGGUGUAUUCCUCCAGCAGCACCUUCAAUUCCCCCUCCAAAUACGACAUGGCGCGCUGCACCACGCUGCCGGCGCGGUUGAUCGUGUAGGCGUACUUGUAAUCGGAUGCCAAAUUGGCCAGCGAAUUCGACAGCGACGUCACGCGAUCCACGGCGUCCAGGAACCACGCCGCGUCUUCCUCUCUCAGGCGCCUCCAUUUCACGUGGCUCUCCAUCGAAUCGUAGCCGUCCAUUUUCUCCUCCACGAGCAUCAGGAAUUUCUCCAUGACGAUGGGCGCGGCGUCGCCGCCCGACUCCAGCGACGAGAUGUAGCGGUCGAUUUCAUUGGAGAUUGUGGGGAGAUCGGGCGUUUCUGGGGGUGGCUCCUCUUCUUUGUCGUCCAUGNAUGAGCUAGAGCAAUUGGCGUUUAUUUGGAUACUUGAUUUUCUUCUCCUUUGGUGGUUGUGUCAUGUGUGUUUUUAAAUGAAAUUUACUCUGUUCCUCCUCUGGUGGUUGUGUCAUGUGUGUUUAUCC
rnacentral:lncRNA from 1 species